rnacentral:rRNA from 1 species
GAUGAACGCUGGCGGCGUGCCUAGUACAUGCAAGUCGAGCGAACGGAUGAGAAGCUUGCUUCUCUGAUGUUAGCGGCGGACGGGUGAGUAACACGUGGAUAACCUACCUAUAAGACUGGGAUAACUUCGGGAAACCGGAGCUAAUACCGGAUAAUAUUUUGAACCGCAUGGUUCAAAAGUGAAAGACGGUCUUGCUGUCACUUAUAGAUGGAUCCGCGCUGCAUUAGCUAGUUGGUAAGGUAACGGCUUACCAAGGCAACGAUGCAUAGCCGACCUGAGAGGGUGAUCGGCCACACUGGAACUGAGACACGGUCCAGACUCCUACGGGAGGCAGCAGUAGGGAAUCUUCCGCAAUGGGCGAAAGCCUGACGGAGCAACGCCGCGUGAGUGAUGAAGGUCUUCGGAUCGUAAAACUCUGUUAUUAGGGAAGAACAUAUGUGUAAGUAACUGUGCACAUCUUGACGGUACCUAAUCAGAAAGCCACGGCUAACUACGUG